rnacentral:ncRNA from 1 species
UUUCGAGCUGUUGUUUCCUAAAACAGAUUCUGCGAUGGAGCGGCAGCCAAUGGGUAGCGGAGGAAACCCCGGUGCCUCCCGCAUUUGGAAAGAGAUGCAUUGGA